AUUGAACGCUUGCGGCAUGCCUUACACAUGCAAGUCGAACGGUAACGGGUCCUUCGGGAUGCCGACGAGUGGCGAACGGGUGAGUAAUAUAUCGGAACGUGCCCAGUAGUGGGGGAUAACUGCUCGAAAGAGCAGCUAAUACCGCAUACGACCUGAGGGUGAAAGGGGGGGAUCGCAAGACCUCUCGCUAUUGGAGCGGCCGAUAUCAGAUUAGCUAGUUGGUGGGGUAAAGGCCUACCAAGGCAACGAUCUGUAGUUGGUCUGAGAGGACGACCAGCCACACUGGGACUGAGACACGGCCCAGACUCCUACGGGAGGCAGCAGUGGGGAAUUUUGGACAAUGGGCGCAAGCCUGAUCCAGCAAUGCCGCGUGCAGGAAGAAGGCCUUCGGGUUGUAAACUGCUUUUGUCAGGGAAGAAAUCUUCUGGGCUAAUACCCCGGGAGGAUGACGGUACCUGAAGAAUAAGCACCGGCUAACUACGUGCCAGCAGCCGCGGUAAUACGUAGGGUGCGAGCGUAAAUCGGAUUACUGGGCGUAAGCGUGCCCAGGGGGCUUUGCAGACAGAUGUGAAAUCCCGGGGCUCACCCUGGGGAACUGCAUUUGUGACUGCAAGGCUAAGAUUACGGCAGAGGGGGAUGGAUUUCCGCGUGUACCAGUGAAAUGGGUAGAUAUGCGGAGGAACACCAAUGGCGAAGGCAAUCCCCUGGGGCCUGUACUGACGCUCAUGCACGAAAGCGUGGGGGAGCAAACAGGAUUAGAUACCCUGGUAGUCCACGCCCCUAAACGAUGUCAACUGGUGUUGGACGGCUGCUGUUCAGUAACGAAGCUGACGCGUGAAGUUGACCGCCUGGGAGUACGGCCGCAAGGUUGAAACUCAAAGGGAAUUGACGGGACCCCGCACAGCGGGUGGAUGAUGUGGUUUAAUUCGAUGCAACGCGAAAAACCUUACCUACCCUUGACAUGUCAAGAAUUCUGCAGAGAUGUGGAAGUGCUCGAAAGAGAACUUGAACACAGGUGCUGCAUGGCCGUCGUCAGCUCGUGUCGUGAGAUGUUGGGUUAAGUCCCGCAACGAGCGCAACCCUUGUCAUUAGUUGCUACGCAAGAGCACUCUAAUGAGACUGCCGGUGACAAACCGGAGGAAGGUGGGGAUGACGUCAGGUCCUCAUGGCCCUUAUGGGUAGGGCUACACACGUCAUACAAUGGCCGGUACAGAGGGCUGCCAACCCGCGAGGGGGAGCCAAUCCCAGAAAACCGGUCGUAGUCCGGAUCGUAGUCUGCAACUCGACUGCGUGAAGUCGGAAUCGCUAGUAAUCGCGGAUCAGCUUGCCGCGGUGAAUACGUUCCCGGGUCU
rnacentral:rRNA from 1 species